ensembl:lncRNA
CUUGGAAUGGGAAGAAGGACAGAGCUUGGUUUCUUCUCUCAGGGAUCUUAAGGUGGGCUACAGCCUCUAAGCUGAUGCUGAUGUUCAACUAUAGCAUAGGUGCUGAGAGGGUGAGAGAAGCAGAGUGAGAAGGUGAGGGUGGAGUGUCCAAAGCAAGGAUAAAAAUUUACCACAAAGGAUCCCUGGCUCAUCCUGAGUCAUAGGACUCACGUUAUGGUAACAGUGCAGACAGUCACACAGGCAUGAUUUGUCCCCAGAAGCAAGAUCACAGAGGUGGGAAGUGCACAAGCAUUUGGGGAAAUGGAUAGGGCAAGAGUUCCUUGGCUCUUACUCGGAAGCAUCUUGAGGUGACUUCCCAGACUCACUUCCAGCCUUGCAAAUCCAGAAACACCCGCAGUAUGGCAGAAAUACCAAGGUCUUUUCACAUACACCCACCAAAGAGCUACAGCAGGCUGCUCCCUUAAUGCAGCGUGAACUGCUUUCCUGACUGAGACAGCCAUCUCCCUGUCCCUGGGAUCUGCGGCUGACUCAUCUGUCCUCAGAGUCAGGCACAUAUAUGAAACAGAAUUCGCAGUUCACAGUCUUCCACUAAUGUUUUGCCCCCAAAGAUUAUACAAUCACCAUCUGGGAUGUUUCAGUCCUUCUAAGGAGGGGAACAAAAUACUCACAG